UACGAAGGGGGCUAGCGUUGCUCGGAAUACUGGGCGUAAAGGCGCAGCGGUAUGACGGCUCUUAAGGUCGGGGAUCAAUCGUGGAUCAACUCCAGAACUGCCUUUGAUACUGGCGAUCUUGAGUCCGGAAGAGGUGAGUGGAACUCCUAGUGUAGAGGUGGAAUUCGUAGAUAUUAGGAAGAACACCAGUGGCGAAGGCGGCUCACUGGUCCGGUACUGACGCUGAGGUGCGAAAAGCGUGGGGGAGCAACAGG
rnacentral:rRNA from 1 species